rnacentral:sRNA from 1 species
AGAGGCGCCGGGGUUUCUGGGCCGGGCUUCUCAGGACCGGGCUGGAACGUGCAGCUCCUGUCCGGGACACUCUGGGCUUUGCGGGGAAGGGACGUGGCGGAGCCCGAUGACCCGCUGCCGCUCGGGACUGAGCCCGCCACGCAGGCGCCUGUGCCAGCGUCGCCAUUGUUGCCUGUGGCCUUAGGGCCGCUCCGGCUGCCCGUCGGCCGGGUCCCAGCGACAGGUAUUGAUGUCCGGGCGCAGCGCGCGAGUGUCCGCGCGAUCAGUGACAGCCCGAGCCCGUCCACGCGCGGGCUCCCGUGCUCGUGGCCUGGGGAGGGCAAAGACGGGGUGGAGGCUGCUGUGGGCCCAGUCCCAGCGUUGCGCGUCGCACGGUCCCCGACUCCCCCGCUGCCCUCGCCCUCGACCCUGCGGCUGAAGAGGAGUAAGAGGCAGAGGAACUUGGCCGGGAAGGGGAGGCGACAGGAGGCAAGGGUCUCUUAUCCAUCCCUGCAAGUUCUGGGCUCAGAAUUUGUCACUAAGGCUGCUAACUCUACCUUGAUUCUGUUCUGCCCUCGGCUGCAGCAGCCUUUGAUAUAG